rnacentral:rRNA from 1 species
UACGGAAGGCAGCAGUGGGGAAUAUUGCACAAUGGGCGCAAGCCUGAUGCAGCCAUGCCGCGUGUAUGAAGAAGGCCUUCGGGUUGUAAAGUACUUUCAGCGGGGAGGAAGGCGGUGAAGUUAAUAGCUUCACCGAUUGACGUUACCCGCAGAAGAAGCACCGGCUAACUCCGUGCCAGCAGCCGCGGUAAUACGGAGGGUGCAAGCGUUAAUCGGAAUUACUGGGCGUAAAGCGCACGCAGGCGGUCUGUCAAGUCGGAUGUGAAAUCCCCCGGGCUUAACCUGGGAACUGCAUUCGAAACUGGCAGGCUAGAGUCUUGUAGAGGGGGUAGAAUUCCAGGUGUAGCGGUGAAAUGCGUAGAGAUCUGGAGGAAUACCGGUGGCGAAGGCGGCCCCUGGGACAAAGACUGACGCUCAGGUGCGAAAGCGUGGGGAGCAAACAGGAUUAGGAUACC